CCGGAGAGUUGAGAAGAGCAGCUCCCACCACUUCAGCUUCAACACAAACCAUGUUCCCUGGAUCGCUGCUGCUGCUGCUGCUGGCAGCUGUAUCCUGUGUUCAGUGUGAAGAACUCACUCAGCCAGCCUUUAUGACUGUCCAGUCAGGUCAACUACUGACCAUCUCCUGUAAGGUCUCAUAUUCUGUUACUAGUGUUGCUACAUUCUGGAUUCGACAGCCUGCAGGGAAAACAUUGGAGUGGAUUGGAUAUAUUAAUAGUGGUGGAAGCACAGCUUAUAAAGAUUCACUGAAAAACAA